rnacentral:rRNA from 1 species
GAUGAACGCUGGCGGCGUGCCUAAUACAUGCAAGUCGAGCGAACAGACGAGGAGCUUGCUCCUCUGACGUUAGCGGCGGACGGGUGAGUAACACGUGGAUAACCUACCUAUAAGACUGGGAUAACUUCGGGAAACCGGAGCUAAUACCGGAUAAUAUAUUGCACCGCAUGGUUCAAUAGUGAAAGACGGUUUUGCUGUCACUUAUAGCUGGAUCCGCGCCGCAUUAGCUAGUUGGUAAGGUAACGGCUUACCAAGGCAACGAUGCGUAGCCGACCUGAGAGGGUGAUCGGCCACACUGGAACUGAGACACGGUCCAGACUCCUACGGGAGGCAGCAGUAGGGAAUCUUCCGCAAUGGGCGAAAGCUUGACGGAGCAACGCCGCGUGAGUGAUGAAGGUCUUCGGAUCGUAAAACUCUGUUAUUAGGGAAGAACAAAUGUGUAAGUAACUAUGCACGUAUUGACGGUACCUAAUCAGAAAGCCACGGCUAACUACGUG